rnacentral:rRNA from 1 species
GUCUACGGCCAUGCCACCCUGAACGUGCCCGAUCUCGUCUGAUCUCGGAAGCUAAGCAGGGUCAGGCCUGGUUAGUACUUGGAUGGGAGACCACCUAGGAAGACCGGGUGCUGUAGGCG